GACGAACCGAGCGAACGUUAUUCGGAAUCACUGGGCUUAAAGGGUGCGUAGGCGGGCACGCGAGUCAGGGGUGAAAUCCCACGGCCCAACCGUGGAAGUGCCUCUGAUACCGCGGGCCUCGAGGGGGAUAGGGGCGUGCGGAACUUCCGGUGGAGCGGUGAAAUGCGUAGAUAUCAGGAGGAACACCGAUGGCGAAGGCAGGUCUCUGGGCUGUAACUGACGCUGAGGAGCGAAAGCAUGGGGAGCGAACAGG
rnacentral:rRNA from 1 species